AGGACCUCACCUAACAGCUUAAGC
rnacentral:miRNA from 1 species